ACUCAAAGGAAUUGACGGGGGCCCGCACAAGCAGCGGAGCGUGUGGUUUAAUUCGAUGCAACGCGCAGAACCUUACCGGGGUUUGACAUGCUCAGGAAAAGCCGAGAGAUCGGUUCCCUCUUCGGAGUCUGAGCACAGGUGCUGCAUGGCUGUCGUCAGCUCGUGCCGUGAGGUGUUGGGUUAAGUCCCGCAACGAGCGCAACCCUCGUCGCUAGUUGCAUCUUUCUAGCGAGACCGCUGCGCAAAACGCAGAGGAAGGUGGGGAUGACGUCAAGUCAUCAUGGCCUUUAUGCCCCGGGCUACACACACGCUACAAUGGGUGGUACAGACGGUUGCGAAGCCGCGAGGUGAAGCUAAUCCGACAAAGCCAUCCUCAGUUCAGAUUGCAGGCUGCAACUCGCCUGCAUGAAGACGGAGUUGCUAGUAACCGCAGGUCAGCACACUGCGGUGAAUACGUUCCCGGGCCUUGUACACACCGCCCGU
rnacentral:rRNA from 1 species